UACGUAGGGUGCGAGCGUUAAUCGGAAUUACUGGGCGUAAAGCGUGCGCAGGCGGUUUGGUAAGACAGAUGUGAAAUCCCCGGGCUUAACCUGGGAACUGCAUUUGUGACUGCAUGGCUGGAGUGCGGCAGAGGGGGAUGGAAUUCCGCGUGUAGCAGUGAAAUGCGUAGAUAUGCGGAGGAACACCGAUGGCGAAGGCAAUCCCCUGGGCCUGCACUGACGCUCAUGCACGAAAGCGUGGGGAGCAAACAGG
rnacentral:rRNA from 1 species